rnacentral:tRNA from 1 species
CAGUAUGUAGCUUAAUUAAAGCCCCUCGCUUACACCGAGCCUCUGCCCGAUAAUCCCGGGUCAUCCUGA